UACGGGGGGGGCAAGCGUUGUUCGGAAUUACUGGGCGUAAAGGGCUCGUAGGUGGCCAACUAAGUCAGACGUGAAAUCCCUCAGCUUAACUGGGGAACUGCGUCUGAUACUGGAUGGCUUGAGUUUGGGAGAGGGACGCGGAAUUCCUGGUGUAGCGGUGGAAUGCGCAGAUAUCAGGAGGAACACCGGUGGCGAAGGCGGGUCUCUGGGCAGUAACUGACGCUGAGGAGCGAAAGCGUGGGGAGCGAACAGG
rnacentral:rRNA from 1 species